AUCCAGCUGACGAGUCCCAAACAGGACGAAACGUGCAUCCUGGAU
rfam:Schistosoma curassoni strain Dakar, Senegal genome assembly, scaffold: SCTD_scaffold0000077